rnacentral:lncRNA from 10 species
GACAGCAAACCAAGGGGUUGUGCUGUCUCCUUGUCUCCCAGGGAUAAACCCACAUGACAGUUUACAAAAACAGGUAAUCAUAAGAAGCAAAUGGCCCAGAUGAAACACAGCAAAAGAAUGAGAAGUGGUAACACUGGGAGUGAAAUUUGAACCAAGCGUAAAUGGAGUGAUCGUAGAAAUAGCUGACUGUGGAAUGUGGACACUCUCUGUAUCUGCAGCCUGGGAAGCUUAAAGAAGGUGAACUUACUGACACCAGUUAGAAAGUGACUGUGAUGAAACGAUGAAGAUGCUCCAGAGGAAGUGACACCAGCAAUAGGAAAAAAAAAACAAACCUCUCACUGAAGGAACUCUCGGAGAUAUUUCAUGACACAGAAGGCACAAAGGAUACAAUAUUGGCAACUAAUCGAAACUUAGAAAUGAUAUGACAGCUCACCAAGGCAUAGAAAAAGAUGCUUGCUCUAUCAUAAGUUAUAGAAUGAGAAGAAGGGAUGGUGUUUCACUAUGCUGCCCAGGCAGGUCUCAAACUCCGGGACUCAUGUGAUCUUCCCACCUUGGCCUCCUGAAGUGCUGGGAUUACAGGCUUGAGCCACCACACUGGGCCUAUACCAUUUUCAAAUAGUGGAGCCAUCCAUUACAUAUUUGUAACAUAUGUGUUGAUUAACAAUUAAUACUCUUAGUUCCAAGCUCCAUUUGGC